rnacentral:rRNA from 1 species
CAGUAGCCGCGGGAAUACGGAGGGUGCAAGCGUUAAUCGGAAUUACUGGGCGUAAAGCGCACGCAGGCGGUUUGUUAAGUCAGAUGUGAAAUCCCCGAGCUUAACUUGGGAACUGCAUUUGAAACUGGCAAGCUAGAGUCUUGUAGAGGGGGGUAGAAUUCCAGGUGUAGCGGUGAAAUGCGUAGAGAUCUGGAGGAAUACCGGUGGCGAAGGCAGCCCCCUGGGCCAAUACUGACGCUCAUGCACGAAAGCGUGGGGAGCAAACAGGAUUAGAUACCCCGGUAGUCCCUGUCUCUUAUAC